UCGAAUUUAUCGACGGCAAAAGCCGCCGUGCCUUAGCAAUUUGCCGUGCUGCCCUGAAUAUUUACAAGUUCUUGCCGGCAGAUACUUGCAGUGCCCUCUUCCUCAGUUGCCUUUGUGCCCUAUUGUGUAUGUUUAGAUCAUAAUAAAGUCAAUAAACUUAUGAAGUCAAGAACAAGUUCUUCCGUUUUUUACUUCUCUGUCUCCAUGUCCAUGAUAUCUAGGUUGAUAAGCGCAUCCCAUAAUUUUACGUUAGCCACGCCUCCAUGGUUAAAUUAUUCAGAGCGGCUAUUCUAGCCGAUGCUUACCUCCCUCCGAAACUAAUAGCAACAUGUUCAUAGAAUAGGGAGGGUGAGAAGGAGAAAAUGCCUAAGUGCCCUCCUAUAUUUGAGGGGAUAAAAGGCAAACAUUGCUGUGCCCCCCGAACAAAGUAAUUCUACCCCUGUAAAGCAUAUACGAUAUGUAGAAUAGUAGAAAAGUUGUCAUAUUUAUUAACGAAGAGAGGGCCCUGUUUUUCAUGGCCUGGGCGAGCCUAAGGCUUUGUAUUUCACUGCUGUCCAUGGAAGAGGUUUUAAAGGCACAUCUGAAUUUGACGUUCUGGGGAAUCACCAUAUGGAGGUGUCGGUGACAACCGUAACACUUCCUUUGCGGAAGCCUCCUGCAGCUGCGAGGCAGACGCUAAUGGAUACCAUGACUUUGCCGGCAGGCAGGAAGGUGGUUUUGGUGAAGGCGAAGGUGGUUGCAGCAUCACCAGCAAAAACUGUCUCCAUCAGAGGGACGGAGAAGGCGGUCAAGAGCUGCACGGUGGCCGACGGCACUGCCCAGAUGCCUCUAUCUUUGGGAGAGGCACAUUGUGGUGCUGCGCUCCGCCUUCACCAAUCUCACCACCAGAGUCUUCCAGGGAAAAGUGGAACUGACAACGUUGCACGCCGAAAUUCAGUAUAUCGCCGAUUUGAAUAAGAGGUGGAAGACGUGCAGGAGGAAUCGGGCGUGACUGUUAAAGGUCAAAUGUGCUCUCUGCGGCAGCCGGCAUGAGGCGUGGGACACCCAUUGCAGGUUUGCAUGCUGCCAGACCUGCAGGAUGCUCCAAAAGUGCGAGUCCUUUGCAAAGGUACUGCGGGGAACUGUAAAAGUGAAAGCCGAGGACCGCACCGAGUACACACUGGCCAUCGGGCACUCCCCUCUAACGGAGUACUUCGCACUACGCCUAAUGACCACCAAAAAAGCCCUCAUUGAGGAACAUAAUCUUGAUGAGGAAUGUUUUGUGUUUAGUUUUGAUGACUGCAAUGUGCUGUCUAUGGACAUUACUGAUAGUGAAGUCCCUACCUGUAGUAACACUGUGUAAUGAGUUGUAGUUUGAGUUUGUCAAGUUUUUGUAUUGGCAUGUUUUUGUUUACUUAAAAUGUGUUCUGUUGCUGUGAUUUAUUAUUAUUAUUUUAUUAUUUAUUUUUUUUUAUUUUUUUUGACAUUUUGUAAAUGGCCAUAUUGUAUUGGGCAUUUUUUAUUUGACAUCUCGGUUAAAUACAGUGGGUACGGAAAGUA